GACGAACGCUGGCGGCGUGCCUAAUACAUGCAAGUAGAACGCUGAAGGAGGAGCUUGCUUCUCUGGAUGAGUUGCGAACGGGUGAGUAACGCGUAGGUAACCUGCCUGGUAGCGGGGGAUAACUAUUGGAAACGAUAGCUAAUACCGCAUAAGAGUAGAUGUUGCAUGACAUUUGCUUAAAAGGUGCAAUUGCAUCACUAUCAGAUGGACCUGCGUUGUAUUAGCUAGUUGGUGGGGUAACGGCUCACCAAGGCGACGAUACAUAGCCGACCUGAGAGGGUGAUCGGCCACACUGGGACUGAGACACGGCCCAGACUCCUACGGGAGGCAGCAGUAGGGAAUCUUCGGCAAUGGACGGAAGUCUGACCGAGCAACGCCGCGUGAGUGAAGAAGGUUUUCGGAUCGUAAAGCUCUGUUGUAAGAGAAGAACGAGUGUGAGAGUGGAAAGUUCACACUGUGACGGUAUCUGACCAGAAAGGGACGGCUAACUACGUG
rnacentral:rRNA from 1 species